UACGUAGGGCGCAAGCGUUGUCCGGAAUUAUUGGGCGUAAAGAGCUCGUAGGCGGUUUGUCGCGUCGGAUGUGAAAGCCCGGGGCUUAACCCCGGGUCUGCAUUCGAUACGGGCAGACUAGAGUGUGGUAGGGGAGAUCGGAAUUCCAGGUGUAGCGGUGAAAUGCGUAGAUAUCUGGAGGAACACCGGUGGCGAAGGCGGCGUUCUGGACUGCAACUGACACUGAGGAACGAAAGCCAGGGGAGCAAACGGG
rnacentral:rRNA from 1 species